UACGGAGGGGGCUAGCGUUGUUCGGAAUUACUGGGCGUAAAGCGCGCGUAGGCGGCUUUGUAAGUUAGAGGUGAAAGCCCGGAGCUCAACUCCGGAAUUGCCUUUAAGACUGCAUCGCUAGAAUCAUGGAGAGGUGAGUGGAGUUCCGAGUGUAGAGGUGAAAUUCGCAGAUAUUCGGAAGAACACCAGUGGCGAAGGCGACUCACUGGACAUGUAUUGACGCUGAGGUGCGAAAGCGUGGGGAGCAAACAGG
rnacentral:rRNA from 1 species